AACGAACGCUGGCGGCACGCUUAACACAUGCAAGUCGAACGAAGCUUCUACUUCGGUAGAAGACUGAGUGGCGGACGGGUGAGUAACGCGUGGGUAUCUGCCUUGUGGUGGGGGAUAACUGAGGGAAACUUCAGCUAAUACCGCAUACGCCCUUCGGGGGAAAGAACUUAUUUGCCAUAAGAGGAGCCCGCGUAAGAUUAGGUAGUUGGUAGGGUAAUGGCCUACCAAGCCGAUGAUCUUUAGCUGGUUUGAGAGGAUGAUCAGCCACACUGGGACUGAGACACGGCCCAG
rnacentral:rRNA from 1 species